UACGUAGGGUGCGAGCGUUGCCCGGAUUUACUGGGCGUAAAGGGCGCGUAGGCGGUCAGCACAAGUCAGUUGUGAAAUCUCCGGGCUUAACUCGGAAAGGUCAACUGAUACUGCGGGGCUAGAGUGCGGAAGGGGCAACUGGAAUUCUCGGUGUAGCGGUGAAAUGCGUAGAUAUCAGGAAGAACACCCAGUGGCGAAGGCGGUCUCUGGAACGGUACUGACGCUGAGACGCGAAAGCGUGGGGAGCGAACAGG
rnacentral:rRNA from 1 species